AGGGGCCUGGGGCGGCUCGCGGGCGCGGGCGCGGGCGGGCAAGUGCGGCCGCCUCGAAAGGGCGCGCGGCGAGGUGGGGAGCGGCCCCCUCAGCGACAUUCCAGAGCUUUCAGCAGGAGCGAGCCGUGCACGGCCGUACUCUUUCAUCCGCCCGCUGUGGUGGCCUUUAGCUUCCUCUGCGUGAAUAUUAAAUUUGAGAUGGCGCCGCAGCAACACGUUUUGGAGAGUGUUCUUUGGGCUGUUAUUUGUAUGAUUUGGUGAAGCUGCCCCAUUCAAAGCCACCACCGGCAGCCUGAAUGAGACCACAGAGCGGGGAACACAGAUGGGACUUGGCCACAGACACCCUGAAAAGUCAAACUCGCAUCGGGGAAAAUACUUCCAGAGAGUGUUUUCUUGGACAGAAAUAGGAUGUAGUAGAAAGCCAGAGAGCAAAGAUGUUCCAAGACAUGGGAAAAAAAAAGGACCCUCUGCCUCACAUUGUCGAAAACACCAGCAGCAGGAAAGAAAAGCAAACUCACACAGAGGCUUCUGCACGAGGGCCAUUGUAUGCAGCACAUAAGAAAAGCAGCAGGCAUCUUUGGGGAUUAAGGAUCUCAAGGUCCUUACAGUCGAGGAGGCCAUCUGGAAAGAGGUUAUUUCAUUCGCCACACCCUCAAAGUUGGCCCUGUUAGCAAGUGUAAUGGGACUUUUUUCAGUUUCAUAAAAUAUCUUGAUAACUGGAAAGUGCCAGUUAAUGGUAGCCUGUUCCAACUAUGAAUUUCACAAAGAUUAAUAUACCCCUUUAGGUUUCUUAAGAUUCUAUCAGGAGGCCUCCCUUAGUCUUGGGUGUUUUACAAUCUCUGUGGGCAUGAGGCUCAACUGAAACUACCAUUCAACAGCCUGUCAUCUUCAUCUGCUUCUGGCAUAAAAAUACAUAUUUUUUUCCCAUAAUAAAGAUUUUUUAUAAUAGCAAUAAAGUAACUCCAGAGAACAUGGUUGUCUUGAGAUAGCUUAACUGUGUCUGGUAUCUCAUAACGCCCUGGGGAUACAGCAGGCCCAUAAUACUCCCUUUUGCUGCCAUGUCUUUGCUUAAUUAAGGAAUAAAGCCAAAAGGUCAAUGCUGAAGAAAAAUGUAAAUCUUCAAAACUUCUCAUUCUUGACCCAAACUCUGUGUCAUAAAACCUCAGUUAUCUUUGUUAACAAGGAGCACACCCACCCCGUCAGCCAGGGGACACCGGGAUACACAUUACAUCUUUAAAAUAUGCUUUUGACACCAUGAAAAUAAAUUCCUGACCUCUGGACUUGGAAUUAUGAUUUGGCCUUCCUUGAGAGAGACCCUCACAAACCUUUUGCUAAUCCUCAGUGAACAGAAAGCACUAGAGCAGGAGCCAUCUCCUUCAUCAGACACGAUUUGCCACUGUAUUUCAAUGCAUCAAACGUUGUGUUGACUCUCACACGGCUAGAAGGCGAGAAAGCAAGGUUUGCGUGUGUCGUAGAGAGGGAAAAUGAAUAUGUAUAUUCAUCUCUACGGCUUAUUCGUUAUUCUAUUGCUGCCGUGAAUGCAAAAUAUGAUUUCAGCUCCAAUCGUUUUAUUAGUUCACUGAUUACUGUCCAUCAUAAUGAGCAAGGUGGUUUGGGCCCUGGUGUAGUUUACCGGAGCUGCAGUCUUUUGCGAUGGUGGUUUACAGACUGUCUCCUAGGUGCCACCCUCCAAAUGGAUAUUUCUAACCAAUGAUACUCAUUUUAAACAGGAGAUGUGCAGUCCCUAAACUGAUUUGUUACCACUGGUACAAAAAAAUCAUAAAUAUUUACUUGCCUCCAAGAACUAGAACCUUCCUAUCACAUUCACGGCUAUGCUAAUUGGAGGAAAAGGGUUAUUCCAUUAUGGAACUAAUUAUAUGUCAUCUGCUUCUCUCUCAGAUGAAUAAAUGGACAGACAGAUGCUAUGCUGAUCAAUUAAUGUUGUGAUAGAUCAAUCAGCGGAUCUGGACUUAGGUAAUACGUAUUUAUGGAAGUCAGAAUGACUUAUUUUUUUUCUAGCAAAUACGAGAAUUCAAACGUGACUUUAUUGUACAAAUGGAAAUAGAUCAGGAGCAAAGAGUUGCCAUUGUAUUCUUGCUGUGAGAAAGAAAAUUCAUCCUUCUUCUUUUGCUUACAUAUUCAACAGACAUUAUGGCUCAAUAAAAAUGGGAUGUUUAAAUAUUUGAUAAACAUGGGUAGAGCAACGCAUUGCUAAAACUGCUAGAGUAGCUGGGCAGAUUCUCAUGGAAACAUAAAUUAGCUUGUAUACAAAUGGAACUGUGGUAAUUCUGGCCUUAAAAUUACCUCUUUCUCUUCUCUGUCUCACUUUUGUUUCUUUUCAAUUGUUAUCUGACCGGGCCGGGGUUUUCGCUGGCUGUGUUUCAAACUAAGCAAGCUGUCAGCUUCACUAAUCACAUUAAAUGCAUCUCACACUAGUGCCUAGACAUUUGCAGGCUUCUCUUAGCUAUCAUCCAGUGGAAGCAAAGAGAGGGGUCUCAAGCUCUACUGAUUUCACAUCGUUGACCCACUCCUUAUAUCAGUCCGAAAGUCAAGUGCAGUCAUCUCAUCACUAAUAUGAGAGGCUCCUCAGGUUGGUCUAUACCCAUUUCCUGCAGCGAGUGCUGACCCUGCCAUGCCCCAAGGGGGAGGCUGGUCCUGUUGCCUGGUUAUAGGAGCUCCAUUCCAACCAGCAUGGAACUUCAGUUGGGCAGAGAGAAGUGGCAUCUGAUGGACCAAGAGAUGCCUAAAAGGGAGGUGCAUGGCUGUCCGCGGGAUUUGCCAGAUGCUAGUACUUUAUCUAGAUGAGCUCUGGACCUCAUGGAUAGAAUACAGAAACAAAAUACAAAAAGGCACAAUUUCCAUGUGUGUGUAUGUCUACAUUUUAACAGUUGUUUCACCUGGCCUCCUCUUCAUGAUUCAGAAAGUCUAUCUGCUGUUGGUGUUUGUAAAAUCCAAAAAGAGCAAGUGAAGCCAUGGGAUUUAUAGGGUAAAAUGACUGACGUGCCUGGCCGAAACAGGCUCCCAUACUGAUGGCUUUUAGUAAAAUUAGAUUAAGAGUAGGAUUAUAGCAAGGAUGGCAAAUGUGGAAUUCACUCAGCAAACACAGAGGCCAUCGAAGAGGUUUGAGUUUAUGGAGCUGUCAAAUAGAUAAAUAAAUAAAUAUGCUUUGCUGAGAGCCUGCUAAAUGUGCUGUUUGGAACAAGGCUGAUCCCCCUAAGAAAGAGAAGUAGUAAUCAUACUGAAUUAUGACUAUGAGAACAGAAAAUGCUGCGUCUAGAUCAGGGUUUCUUGAAGUUUGGGGCAUUAGCAUUAGACCCAGGUACAGCUGCCCAGGCUCUGCCCUCUUGACUGAAUCAGGCUGGCAGAGAUGGGGAGACAAGAGUGAGGUGGAAUGGGGGUGCUGAGAAACACUACAUUUUUAAAAGCACUUCAGAUGAUUCUUGCCCGUACUGAAAUCUGAAGAUGCUGAUGUAAGCCGUCAAGGCCUCUCAUUAAAUCAGAGCAAGACUCUUGCAAUCUGUGUUCUAGCCAUUACUUGUCUGCUGGUGUAUUAGGUGCUUAUAGGUGCUGUAACGAGUUACUACAGAUUUAGUGGCUUAAACCAAAACAAAUUUAUUCUCUUGCAGUUGUGGAGGUCAGAAGUCCGAAUCAGUUUCACUGGGCUCAAAUGGAGGUGUUGGCAGGGUCAUAACUCUAAGGGAGAAUCUGUUCCUGGUCUCUUCCAGCUCCUAUAGCUGUAUUCCUCUUACUCUUUGGCUCGUGGCCCCCUCUUCCAUCUCCCAAGCCUUCUUUGGCCCCUUCGUCUACACUCUGCUUGUCACUUGGCCUUCUUCUCCUCUGUGUCAAAUCUCCUUUUGUUUCCCUCUUCCAAUGACAUUUAUGAUCAGCCCAUCAGGAUAAUCCAGGAUAAUAACCCCAUCUCAAGAUCCUCAACUGAAUUGCAUCUGCAAAAUCUUUUUUACCAUAUGAUGCAACAUUCAUGGGUUCCAAGGAUUAGAACAUGGGUAUCUUUGGGGGUCAUUAUUUAGCCUACCUUGCCUAGUCUUGACAAUUUUUCUCCUUCUUCUUUUUAAGAUUUAUUUAUUUCAGAGAGAGUACAUGUGCACACAUGAGUGAGUGGAGGGGCAGAAGGAGGGGGCAAGAGAGAAUCCU